rnacentral:rRNA from 1 species
AGUCAAGUAAUUAAGUGCAUGUGGUGGAUGCCUUGGCAGUCAGAGGCGAUGAAAGACGUGAUAGCCUGCGAAAAGCUCCGGGGAGGCGGCAAAUAUCCUUUGAUCCGGAGAUGUCUGAAUGGGGGAACCCACCUACUUUAAGGUAGGUAUUGCAACAUGAAUACAUAGUGUUGCAAGGCGAACGAGGGGAAGUGAAACAUCUCAGUACCCUUAGGAAAAGAAAUCAAUUGAGAUUCCCUCAGUAGCGGCGAGCGAACGGGGAUCAGCCCAUUAAGUUAUGUGUGUUUUAGUGGAACGCUCUGGGAAGUGCGAACGUAGAGGGUGAUAUUCCCGUACACGAAAGGGCACACAUAAUGAUGACGAGUAGGGCGAGGCACGUGAAACCUUGUCUGAAUAUGGGGGGACCAUCCUCCAAGGCUAAAUACUCCUGACUGACCGAUAGUGAACCAGUACCGUGAGGGAAAGGCGAAAAGAACCCCUGUGAGGGGAGUGAAAUAGAUCCUGAAACCGCAUGCAUACAAGCAGUGGGAGCACCUUCGUGGUGUGACUGCGUACCUUUUGUAUAAUGGGUCAGCGACUUAUAUUCAGUAGCAAGGUUAACCGUAUAGGGGAGCCGUAGAGAAAUCGAGUCUUAAUAGGGCGUUUAGUUGCUGGGUAUAGACCCGAAACCAGGCGAUCUAUCCAUGAGCAGGUUGAAGGUUGGGUAACACUAACUGGAGGACCGAACCCACUGUCGUUGAAAAGCCAGGGGAUGACUUGUGGAUAGGGGUGAAAGGCUAAUCAAGCCUGGUGAUAGCUGGUUCUCCCCGAAAGCUAUUUAGGUAGCGCCUCGGACGAAUACCAUAGGGGGUAGAGCACUGUUUCGGCUAGGGGGUCAUCCCGACUUACCAAACCGAUGCAAACUCCGAAUACCUAUGAGUACUAUCCGGGAGACAGACUGCGGGUGCUAACGUCCGUAGUCAAGAGGAAAACAAUCCAGACCGCCAGCUAAGGCCCCAAAAUCAUAGUUAAGUGGGAAACGAUGUGGGAAGGCAUAGACAGCUAGGAGGUUGGCUUAGAAGCAGCCACCCUUUAAAGAAAGCGUAAUAGCUCACUAGUCGAGUCGGCCUGCGCGGAAGAUGUAACGGGGCUAAAACUAUGUGCCGAAGCUGCGGAUGUAUACUUUGUAUACGUGGUAGGGGAGCGUUCUGUAAGCCGAUGAAGGUGUGUUGAGAAGCAUGCUGGAGGUAUCAGAAGUGCGAAUGCUGACGUGAGUAACGACAAAACGGGUGAAAAACCCGUUCGCCGAAAGACCAAGGGUUCCAGUCCAACGUUAAUCGGGGCUGGGUGAGUCGACCCCUAAGGCGAGGCCGAAAGGCGUAGUCGAUGGGAAAAUGGUUAAUAUUCCAUUACUUCUGUGUAAUGCGAUGAGAGGACGGAGAAGGCUAAAUCAGCCUGGCGUUGGUUGUCCAGGUGAAAGGAUGUAGGCAUGUAUCUUAGGCAAAUCCGGGGUACUCUAUGCUGAGAUCUGAUAGCAAGCUGUACUUGUACAGCGAAGUGGUUGAUGCCAUGCUUCCAGGAAAAGUCUCUAAGCUUCAGUUACACAGGAAUCGUACCCGAAACCGACACAGGUGGUCAGGUCGAGUAGACCAAGGCGCUUGAGAGAACUCUGCUGAAGGAACUAGGCAAAAUGGUACCGUAACUUCGGGAGAAGGUACGCUGUUGUUGGUGAUGGAACUCGCUUCCUGAGCUGACGACAGCCGCAGAAACCAGGCCGCUGCAACUGUUUAUUAAAAACAUAGCACUCUGCAAACACGAAAGUGGACGUAUAGGGUGUGAUGCCUGCCCGGUGCUGGAAGGUUAAUUGAUGGGGUUAGCGUAAGCGAAGCUCUUGAUCGAAGCCCCAGUAAACGGCGGCCGUAACUAUAACGGUCCUAAGGUAGCGAAAUUCCUUGUCGGGUAAGUUCCGACCUGCACGAAUGGCAUAAUGAUGGCGGCGCUGUCUCCAGCAGAGGCUCAGUGAAAUCGAAAUCGCUGUGAAGAUGCAGUGUACCCGCGGCUAGACGGAAAGACCCCGUGAACCUUUACUGCAGCUUGACACUGAACUUUGACCUUACUUGUGUAGGAUAGGUGGGAGGCUUUGAAGCUGGAACGCUAGUUCCAGUGGAGCCGUCCUUGAAAUACCACCCUGGUAAUGUUGAGGUUCUAACUCUGUCCCGUGAUCCGGGACGAGGACCGUGUCUGGUGGGUAGUUUGACUGGGGCGGUCUCCUCCUAAAGAGUAACGGAGGAGUACGAAGGUGCGCUCAGCGUGGUCGGAAAUCACGCGUAGAGUAUAAAGGCAAAAGCGCGCUUAACUGCGAGACCCACAAGUCGAGCAGGUACGAAAGUAGGUCUUAGUGAUCCGGUGGUUCUGUAUGGAAGGGCCAUCGCUCAACGGAUAAUAAGGUACUCUGGGGAUAACAGGCUGAUACCGCCCAAGAGUUCAUAUCGACGGCGGUGUUUGGCACCUCGAUGUCGGCUCAUCUCAUCCUGGGGCUGAAGCAGGUCCCAAGGGUAUGGCUGUUCGCCAUUUAAAGAGGUACGCGAGCUGGGUUUAGAACGUCGUGAGACAGUUCGGUCCCUAUCUACCGUGGGCGCUGGAAAUUUGAGAGGAUCUGCUCCUAGUACGAGAGGACCAGAGUGGACGAACCUCUGGUGUACCGGUUGUGACGCCAGUCGCAUCGCCGGGUAGCUAUGUUCGGAAGGGAUAACCGCUGAAAGCAUCUAAGCGGGAAGCCUACCUCAAGAUAAGAUUUCCCUAGGACUUUAUGUCCUCUAAAGAGCCGUUCGAGACUAGGACGUUGAUAGGUUGGAUGUGGAAGCAUAGUGAUAUGUGAAGCUGACCAAUACUAAUUGCUCGUGAGGCUUGACUAU